rnacentral:lncRNA from 1 species
UGCGUGACGUUGAAUAAAUACCUCAUAUACAGAAAUCCAAAAUAUAUCGAACUAAUGAGAUUGAGAAUUUUGAGAAGAAACUAUUGAAACCCUAAUUUUUUUUUAUGGAUUUGCUUUCUAGCUUUAUUUUUCUGAAAUAUAUGAAAAAGAGAGAAUAGAAAAAGGGGAUUUAUAAGAGACUAUAGGGAGAGAUAUAACUCAAUUAGAGAAAGGGAAAAGAAAAAUAUAAAGAAAAAGUACAAGUCAACUAAACUGCAUAGUUGCAGUAGAAGAAUGAAUAAGAAAAAAGUAUCGGGUAAAUAGUUUUGGUCGUCUAAGUGUAUACUGUAAUAAUUUUGAGAGUAGGUAAAAGCGGGUAAUUAAUUUGUAUUUAAUAGGUAUAUAACAUAAAUUGCUCUAAAAUUAAUUCUUGUCAUCAUGUGAAGCUGUUGGGCUAAAAUAGCCCAAUUAUACUCUUAACAUACUAUGAUAUAAUCUAUUUUGGGCCAAGCCCGUGAAGAUUUUCCCAAAAGAGCUCACACUAUUAAGAGAUCCUUAUCCCUUACAUGUGGUCUCCCAAAAGAGCAAGUAGUGUUGAACCAAUUUCACCUAUCCCUAAAUAGUAUAUUGGUAAGUUUAAAUUGGAAUAUUAUAGCAUUAAUAUUCUAAUUUAGAACAUAGUAUCCAAACCAAAAAUAAAUAAUUAGAAUACAAUAUUCGAAACCAAACAUACCAUAAUAUUUUGAAUUGGAAUACAAUAUUUUAAUAAAGAAUACAAUAUUCAACCAGGCAUACCAUAAUAUUUUAAAUCGAAAUAUAAUAUUUAAAUCAAACAUACCAUAAUAUUUUAAUUUGGA